CCUGAACGCUGGCGGCAUGGCUAAAACAUGCAAGUCGAGGGAGAAGCACCUUCGGGUGUGGACACCGGCGAAAGGGCGAGUAACGCGAUCGUACGUACCCUUCAGUAGAGGAUAGCGUCGUGAAAACGGCGGUAAUACUCUAUACGCUCUACGGAGGAAAGAAUUUCGCUGAAGGAGCGGCGAUCGUCCUAUCAGGUAGUUGGUGAGGUAAAGGCUCACCAAGCCAAAGACGGGUAGCGGGUGUGAGAGCAUGACCCGCCGCAUCGGGACUGAGACACUGCCCGGACUCCUACGGGAGGCUGCAGUAACGAAUCUUCCGCAAUGCGCGAAAGCGUGACGGAGCAAUGCCGCGUGUGGGAUGAAGCGGUUACGCCGUGUAAACCACUGUCAGGGUCGAGGAAGAACUGACCAGACCCAGAGGAAGGACCGGCUAAUCUCG
rnacentral:rRNA from 1 species